ACCUGCCUGAAAUGUCCAUUCAACAACACCCACUAGCAAGGAUUCUACCUCUUCCCUCUGCUGCAGGGCUGUACCCCAAAGGAGAACAAGUCCUUCUUACUACAGCUGCAAGGAAGGGACCUUUCCCCUCCGUCAGCUGCCAGGUUGGCAGGCCUAAGAGACUGCAUCAAGGUACUGUCUUUAAAAAAACAAAACUUCCACUGAAUUCCCCAAAGGGACCUGAUCAGCCAACCAAGGAAGCCACGCUGAAGGCACAAGCAUGAACUGUACAGCUAAAGGUCUCGCCCAAGAGUCAAUGUCCCACAAAAUGCUGUGUGCGGAAAACAGGAAAUGCUGCAUGUGUGUACGCAGGGGAGAUCGCUGAGCGCUGCUUGGCAAUAGCUGUUAGGAAGUGCCUCUGUCCCCUGGAGGGUUUGCCAGUGUCAGAAGGAUGCAUGUUAGACAUCUCCAUCUCACCUGAGGGCAUAGAGGCAUCGAAUUGAAUGAUUGGCUAGAAAGGCUUCAUGUCUGCUCCACAGCACAGCAGAUGCUUGUGCCAAGCCUAGCCUUUAUCACACCCCGGCUGAAGCGUGUGUCCAUCUUAAUGCUAAAAUUGUAUACAGUGCUUGGUUCACACUGAAUGCUGUUUGUUGAUAGCAGUGCGGUGGGGAACGUCCGACCUUGGGGCCAGAUGCAGCCCUCUGGGCUCUUCUCAGGCCACAUCCCUCCUCAGGCCACACUCCCUCUUCCAGGCCACACCCCUCCCCCUCCAGCCACCUUGAGUGCUUCUGCCUGGCUUCUUGACAAUGCGUCAUAGAAUCAUAGAAUCAUAGAAUUGAUUCUAGAAUUGAUUCAAGUCUUUCUGCUUGGAUGGAGGACAAAGAGAAGGAUGUGUGUGUCUAUAGAACCUUCUGUGGGGAUGGAAUAUAGUCUUCUGUGGAAGGUAAAAGUCCCAUACAUUGCACCCCAAUCUUUCCCUCUGGCCCGCCCACUACGAUGUGGAUCUGCGUAGGAACCUCCCUGCGGAGUCAAGAACAGAAGAAGUGCCCUGCUGGAUCAGGCCAAUGACCCAUCUAGCCCAGGAUCCUGUUCCCACAGGGGCCAACCAGGGGCCUGUGAGAAACCAGCAAGCGGCACCCGAACACCAGAGCCCCUCUCCCCUCCUGUGGCUUCCAGCAGCUGGUCUUCAGAAGCAUGGCUGCGUCCGACUGUGGAGGCAGAGCAGAGCCAUCCUGGCUGAUAGCCAUCCCUAGUCUUGUCCUCCAUGAAUUUGCCUCAUCUUCUUUUAAAGCCCUCUAGGCUGCUGGCCAUCACUGCUUCCUGUGGCAGGGAGUUCCAUAGUUUAUGUGAUGCAUGAAGAAGUACUUUCUUUUAUCUGUUCCGAAUCUUCCAAAAUUCAGCUUCAUUGGAUGUCUGAAGAGUUUGGGGUUGCUUUGCUAUUAAAACAGAGCAAUGUAGGAUUUUUUUUAAUGAACCUUUCAUUUUCUCUCUCUCUCUAUAUAUAUAUAUAAUCUGCUGUGCUUUAGCAGCAGCAGCACCAACAAACCCAGAACUCUUCAGACACUGUUCAUUCACAGACAACAGUUUUAGAGCUUUCCCUAGACAUUCAGAUAGUUGUGGUCGUGGCCCUAGUUAAAGCAACAAGACAAGUCUCGUGCCUCCUUAUUCCAGGUGUGGGAGCAAUUAUCAUGGCAUCCCAGUGGCAGCUGGCAAAAUGGAUCACUAGUGGGAAGUACUGACCCACACAGAGCAGUCUAGGGCAGAGGGGCUUUUCUGUCUUACUAAAGCUAUUGGGAGGCAUAGGUGAAGGCAACGGAGGGUCCUUCAGUCAGCAUGGUGGAAGUGUGUGCUUGCUGAUUGGCUAGCAGCCCCAGGUGUGGGCAUGGGAUGAUGACAUCAACAAAGGUGGGCAGCCAACUAGCAACCAUUCACCUGCAUAGUGCUGAGGCAUGCCUUGCCUCCACCAAGGUCUCCUAAUCUUUUUCAAUGAGGGCAAGAAUUUGCAUCCUUCCUCAGUGACCCAAAAGCAGCAGCUGAUGGUCCUACUGGGAAACUGCUUCACUGCCCUUGACAGCAAAGAUCCUAAAUUAUUAACUGUUCAUAAAAAUUAUGAACUGCUGGCAAGCCUUCCAAUAAGUAUUCCAAUGGUACUUACAAGAGCCCUCCUUGGUAGACCAUUAUUCUCUCUCUCUCUCUCUCUCUCUCUCUCUCUCUCUGUCUCAUAAGUUAUGGAGAGGAGACAGAGACCUGAGAGAUUUUUCUUUCCUUUUCAAAAUUAAUUUCUAUCCCGCUUCUCCAUACGCUCAAGGAAGCUUGUAACAUUAAAACCACACAUCCAUAAAACCAUAAAAACAACAAUAAAAGUCAUAUUAUCAUCUCAAAACAGAGCACUAGAGCAGGCAUGAUAAAAUCUAUCAGCAUUACCUUGGGUAACCUCAUGUGCUCUCCUGAAAAUGCUGGUCUUGCACAUCUUCUGAACGAUGAAAAACAAAGCGCCAAUGCUUAUCUGUUAGGGCUCUGCUGAUAAGUUCUCCCACUUUUAAAAAAGAGUCUCCAACAAUUAAUGAGAAAAGACAUUGCAUUUGGAAAUUAUCAAGGGAGACAGACAACUAAGGUGAAAUUUGCAUGGGUGAGGCUGUGGCAUGUGGUGUUUUGAGAUGUCUAGGAGGACCCUUCUUUCAUUCUACAAACCAGUACUCUACAGCCUUUCUUUUGCCUCUGCUUCUUGAAAACUACUCUAGGUCCUUGGCUGAACUCUCUUAUAAACAAGGGAAGGUGAGGAAUGUGUCUGCUGUGUUCCUAAAUGGAAGUACUACCCUUAAAAACAAACAGUGCGGAUGCACUGAUCUGUCAAAUUUCAGUUCUCUCGGUUUCUAAUUUUUAUUUAUUUAAUGCAUUGGUAUCCCAAGUGGGGCUUUGAACCCUGGUCUCCCUGGUCCUAGUUGGACGCUAACCACUGCACCACACUGGCUCUCUCCAAUCUCGCCGAGAUUUUUCAAACCUUAAAUUUGGUUCUCCAUAUUUCUGCAGCAAUUUGCAUUUUUAAAAACUGCUCAUGAAUAUCCUUCAGCAUUUUAGUGCACGUUUCUCCUAAUAAACAUAUUUUUGUAUGCAGUUUUAUGGAAGAAAAAUCUGCAUGUGAAUUUUAUUGGACCCAGAAAACAACAGGCAACCAGUGUUGUUUUAAGAUGGAAAAUGAUGUUAAUACAGUUAAAGCAGUAUCAUACCACUUUAAACAGUCACAGAACUAUAAUUUGCAGAGUUCCUUGGAAAGAGGAAUUGACUGUUAAACCAUUCUGAGAACUGUAGCUCUGGGAGGAGAAUACAGAUCUUCUAACAGCUCUCAGCUCCCUUAACAAAUGGCAAUUCCCAGGAUUCUUUGAGGGAAGCCAGGACUGUUCUUUAAAUGUAUAGUGUAGAUGGGGCCCACACGUAGUCAGCUGUACUGCUCUCAUAAGCACUCUGGCUGCUGCAUAAUUGCAAUUUUUGCACCAUCUUCAAGAGCAGCCCCACAUAGUGUGUGUGUUACAGAGUGGUAUUCUUCUGGAAUCCAAGCCAGCAUAAUAGCUAUCACUUGGUGGCAUUGGGAUUCGGUCUGGUGUAUCAAGGAGCAGGGCUUUGUCUGCCCCUGCCUUCCCCCAGCCAGAGGGAGCAGCAGGACUGUGCUAUUGUGCUGCCUGACCAGAGUUAGUCCUACUGCAAUCUCUGGAGUUUAGGAUUGCAGUAAAUGUUUCUAGGCUGCCCACUUCCUGGGAAGAAGUCCUACUGAACAUCAUCUGAUUUAAUUCCAAAUAAAUGUCCAUAGGAUUCUGCUGUUAGACUGCAAUCCUGUGCACAUUUAUGUGGAAGCAGUGCUUUUUUCUAAAAAAAAGUUUGACUCCAGAAAAUCACCAUUUUAUAGUUCUAAUUGGGAAAAAUAAAUACAGUAAAUGGACAAAAGUACAAAGAUUCACAAAAUGUUUAGGGGGGUGUGUAACCCCCCCCCCGGAAAAAAGCACUGUUGUAGGCUUUACCUCCCACCUAAAUACACACAGGAUUGUGUAACUAAUAUUGUCUCUCUUCACAGGGAUCCUGCUUCUCCAGUUACCCCAUAAAUUCUAGACCCAGCGUAUAACCAUUACCACUGAAUACUGGAUGUUUGUGUGUGUGUCUGAUUUUGAUAACCCUCAAUCAGGGGUGCUUUGAAACCAACUUCUUCUCGUAUCCCUGCAUUUGAAAUUAAAGAAGAGAGGAUUAAUUUCUGACAGAUACAAUUGUAUUUUGGCAGUGCUCACAGGCCAGUCGCCUGCUAUCUGGCUCCAUGCCCUGGUGAGUCGUAAUUCCGUUCAUAUCACCUUAUGAGCCGCAGUAAAUUACCCAAAUGCAUCAAUGACCAUCAUCAGCUUUGCAGUGGCUCUGUUGGAGGACUCAGGGAAGAAUGCCAGCCCCCCUCCCCUCUGCAAGUGCUUGAGUGUUUGGAAAGCAGGAGGGAGAAGUGGCUGAUGGAUUUUGCAGAGGAAAUCACUGCACUUAAUUUUCCAAAGAAACCACCUUACUUUCCAAAUGUCAUUUUCAAAUGUCAGAAUGCCUUGUCCUAAAUCUCUUCUUCUUCUUCUUCUUCUUCUUCUUCUUCUUCUUCUUCUUCUUCUUCUCCUCCUCCUCCUCCUCCUCCUUUGGCGAUCACUCAUAGCCGAGUAAGUCUGUCUUCCAUAAACACGGUUUUAACAAUGAGUCCGUAAGUGACUGGAGGCCAAUUCUGGAUCCACAUGUCCUUCCACAGUGGGGACAUUGGUUUCCAGGUGGGAGUUGAUGACAGUGUGGAUUUGCCAAGCGUGCCUUCCUCUUAGCAAGUUUGAGUCCUGAGUUAGAGUGUCUUCAAAGCCCAUGACACCUUUGGUAAAGACUGUUCUCCAAUUGGAGCGUUCGCAGGCAAGUGUUUCCCAAUUGUUGGUGUUUAUACUACCUUUUUUUAGAUUUGUCUUCAGAGAGUCUUUGAACCUCUUUUGUUGACCACCAGCAUUACGCUUUCCAUUUUUAAGUUCGGAAUAGAGUAGUUGCUUUGGAAGACGAUCAUCAGACAUCCGCAAAACAUGACUAGUUCAGCGAAGUUGAUGUUGAAGAAUCAUUGCUUCAACACUGGUGAUCUUUGCUUCUUCCAGUACCCUGGCAUUAGUUUGCCUGGCUUCCUAAGUGAUGUGUGAAAUUUUUCGGAGACACCAUUGAUACAAUCUUUCGAGGAGGUGGAGAUGGCAUUCAGAAGUGGUCCACAUUUCACAAGCAUACAGUAAGGUUGGUAGUACAAUAGCUUUGUAAACAAGCAUUUUGGUUUCCCUGCGAAUGUCCCGGUCCUCAAACACUCUGCACUUCAGUUGGGAGAAAGCUGCACUCGCAGAGCUCAGGCAAUGCUGGAUUUUGGCAUCAGUGUUGGCCCUUGUGGAAAGAUAAUUGCCCAGGUAGGAGAAGUGAUCAACACUUUCCAACAUUACACCAUUGAGUUGGAUUUGUGGCACUGCAGAGGGGUUAUUUUGUACUUGUUGGUGUAGCACUUUGGUUUUUGGGAUGUUGAUUGAUAGGCCAAGCUUUUUGUAAGCUUCUGCGAAGAUAUUUAGGAUGGUUUGGAGGUCAUCCUCUGAGCGUGCACACACUACGUUGUCAUCAGCAUACUAAAAUGAUGGUGAUGAUGGUGAUGAUGGUGCAGUUGCAGGAGGGGUGACACCCAUGAUGGAAUUGCAGUUGCCAAGCAAAUUAAAAACAAAUGUUCCUGCAAGGGAGUCAACUCCCAUCAUUCCUGACCAUUGCUCUUGCUGGCUGGGGCAGAUGGGAUUUGUGUUUUUUUGUUUUGUUUUGUUUUGUUUUGUUUUGUUUUUUUCAAAUGCUUUUAUUAACUUAUACCAACACCAACACAGACAUCACUCACAAUACAAACUUACAAAAAGAUAUAACUACACAUGUAGAACAAAUGAUACACAUACAUCCCUAUUUCAAUUCUUAUUCAUUUCUAUUUGACUUCCUUCCCCCUCAGCGCGGGUCUGGUUCUAUACUGGAGAAGAGGAGGUUAAGGGGUGAUAUGAUAGCCAUGUUCAAAUAUAUAAAAGGAUGUCACAUAGAGGAGGGAGAAAGGUUGUUUUCUGCUGCUCCAGAGAAGCGGACACGGAGCAAUGGAUCCAAACUACAAGAAAGAAGAUUCCACCUAAACAUUAGGAAGAACUUCCUGACAGUAAGAGCUGUUUGACAGUGGAAUUUGCUGCCAAGGAGUGUGGUGGAGUCUCCUUCUUUGGAGGUCUUUAAGCAGAGGCUUGACAACCAUAUGUCAGGAGUGCUCUGAUGGUGUUUCCUGCUUGGCAGGGGGUUGGACUCGAUGGCCCUUGUGGUCUCUUCCAACUCUAUGAUUCUAUGACGUAAUAAACUGUUUCUUCCUCAACUCCUCUUCUUGGGGGUGGAUGGGAUUUGGAGUCCAGCUGCAACUAAAGGGCCACAUCUACCCCACCCCUGGACAUUUGCCCAUCCCUUGUGGAUCCUCCCAAGUGUCCAACCUUUGAACAGAGGCAGAUUUAGGGGAGCACAACAAGUUUGCCUGCACUGGGCACAGAACUGAGAGGAUCCCACAAGGAGCACUGCAACAAUGACAAACAACAGAAGGUGAGAAGCGGGAGGGGGCACCGGAUUUUGGCGUCGCACAGGGCACCACUGAAAUUUGAAAGCCCAAACAAGUGCUGUGAGAGAUUCUUCUUUCUCUUGCAAUGCAUUGGUUAUGCUUCCCCAACAACCAUCCAUCUUGCCCAUCCUUGCAAAAAGCUCCAUUUUUCCAUUCCCAAGUUGGGACAAAACAAAAACAAAAAACAAGCAUCCUUCCAACCCAGGAAUGAAGCUUUGACAUAUUCUGUGUGUGCACAACCAGGAGAAAGCAAACUCUCAAUGUAUGCAGAACGAGGCUGCAGCAGCAUCCAAUGAGACAGAGAUUCUUUCUGUGUUCCAACCAUACUGAAAACAUCUUCAUCUUUCUCAUCUGACUGGCCUCUGCUUCCACAGUGAUUGAUGCCAUCGCCAAGCCUCCAAACCCUGCCGGGAGGAUUUUGCUCUCCCACACCCCAAUUGUUCUAUUCCUCCAGAACUCUCUCUCUCCCACCCCACCCCACCCCACCCUGCUCUCUCUCUCUCUCUCUCUCUCUCUCCCCUUCUCUUUUCCUCUCCAUCCUGCCUCCCUACCACCCAUUCUGGGACACUGAGUGAAUCACCAGUUCUCCUCCCGUUAUCUCAGAUUCUUUGCACACACCCUAACGAGCCAGAAAUGAGCCCCAAUUAUGCCAGGUGAGCUGUCUGAGAGGCAGGCAAGGAACACCAUGUAUCAUUCCCACUGACUUAUUGCACAUGUACAAUUGUCCGAUUACCUUGUUCCUUUUUCUCUUGGAAGCCUAAUAUGAUAAAACAAUAAAUAUUAGAGGGAGGGAAGGGAGUUAUGUAAGCCAGAAGAUUUUAAAUCUUUGGGAAUCGGGUAAUGCACUGCACCAUUCAUUCAUUUAUCCACUCACCCUGCUGUGUCCUGGCUGAAAGGAGUCUUACUGUUACUAGCCAGUCAGGGUAGCAACUCCGUGACAUUCUCAGUGGGGCAUGGAUUCCCCCUCUUGUUUAUGAUGCCACUAAGCCAUCUUGCCUUGCCUCAAUCUUGAUGGCUGCUGAGUGAUCGGGCGGGGGGGGGGGAGUUAGUACACCCAAUCUGGAAUAUGCAUAGCAUAUCUGUGAGCAUUAGCUACAUUGUUUACUACCACUGCAUGAGAGUCACCAGCUUCUGCUUCUCACCUCUGAUCAAUAAACCACUGCACCAUUGACAGCAUCUGCAGAGCAUCCCACACCUGCCUUGGGGAGCAACGCAAAUCCCAUUUACGAUGGAAACUUAUUAGGCUGUUCACAGCCAGCCACAAUUCCCUCCAAGGCCCACCAGAUAAUUCAGUUUACCCUGAAAGUGGAGCCUAUGUGAUAAUUGGUGAUUAUGGCAAGCAAGUGGUUAAAAGCAUUAUGGAAUAGCCAGCUUUUAAAAUAGACCCAAAUGAAGAAAAACACCUGUAUGAAUUGCAUCGUUCUUGCUAGCGGUAAUAAGACCAUGGCUGGGGCAGCAAUCUUCAUUAGUCCCUAAUAUUGUUCCCCAAGCUUCUUUCCCGCUGCUCAGAACCAUGAUGCUUCCUGCUUGUCUUUUUGUUGUUGUUGUUGUUUAGUCAUUUAGUCCUGUCCGACUCUUCGUGACCCCAUGGACCAGAGUACGCCAAGCACUCCUGUCUUCCACUGCCUCCCGCAGUUUGGUCAAACUCAUGCUGGUAGCUUCGAGAACACUGUCCAACCAUCUCGUCCUCUGUCGUCCCCUUCUCCUAGUGCGCUCCAUCUUUCCCAACAUCAGGGGCUUUUUCAGGGAGUCUUCUCUUCUCAUGAGGUGGCCAAAGUAUUGGAGCCUCAGCUUCAGGAUCUGUCCUUCCAGUGAGCGCUCAGGGCUGAUUUCCUUCAGAAUGAAUAGGUUUGAUCUUCUUGCAGUCCAUGGGACUCUCAAGAGUCUCCUCCAGCACCAUAAUUCAAAAGCAUCAAUUCCCUUAAAAUACACAUAUUCCACCAAUUGUUGGCAGGGACCAUAAUUCAGAGAGAGAGCACAAGCUUUGUAUUCAGUUGGGCCCAAGUUCACUCCUUGCAGGAUAGGCCCAUCCCCAUGGGGUCUUUCAAUUAAGUCAUAAAGAGUAGGUUAUUUAUUCUGAAUCAAACUGGCACUUAAUAGCAGAAGCACCAGGCUGAGGGGGUCAACUGACAUGAUCAUCCAGACUCUGAUGGUUGGAAAGCAGUCCAGAAGAGGGGACAGCCUUCAUCCAUUGAUCACCCCUUCUCCUAACCUGGCAUGGCCAGCCCCCGUCGCCAUACCUCCCUCAGCACCUCACUACUUAAAGGGCAGCUCCUUCCUCGUCUUCUCUAUGUCUCUCUCUCUCUCUCCUUGCUCCCCACCAUUCCAUCACCCAAACACAUCACAUACCCUUGUCAGCAGAAGAUCUUCAAAGCAGGGCACUAGAUUAAAUGUGCUCACAGUCUGAAUGUACUAAUAACAGGAAUACAAGUAUCAAAACAUGAACACUCAAAUACAAAAUGAUAGUAAAGUUGGAUUAUAUUAAAUAAUGGACAUAACUUGAGCCAAACUGGUUCUUAAAUGUGCCUAUUUAGAUCUUAACAAAGUGAUUUUAUGAAGUCAAGGCUUCUCCACAACAAUCCAGUUCCUCAUCUUCCCUCCUCAUGGAUGAUGAUAGAACAUACACAGAGCCCCCUCUCUUACAUCAGGCUCACCCCCUCCCUUCCUGUCCUUUGCCUCCCACCCAAAGGACCUCAGUUUUCUAUUGACCUCUACCCUCACCAUUGGAUCUCACCUUAGCCUAACGCAACCCCAGACUAUAUCUUCUCCAGAGGCUGACCCUCAGGCCCUGCUAAAGGAUUGAAACGUUUGCUAAUUUAUAAGUAUAAUGUCCCUGGGAAAUUACAGUGAUGGGGGCGGGUCUAACUAGCACUGUGCUUUGCAUAAACUGUUGAGGCCAAAUACCUGGACGCUCAUCUUCCCAGCCACACUCCCGUGAGAGUCACAUGAUCUCAUGUGUUUAUUGGCACUGUGCUGAGAGCACAGCACCCUAAAACGGGAUGUUCCAACUUGAGACAGUUGAAGGCUAUGGCUUGGCAGUGCACCCAAUUGCCCUUUAAGAGGAGGAGGAGUAGAAAUUGCUUAAAAAGAAGGAAAAGCAGGAGAUCUGGGGCACACUCCAAAAGAUAGAGUGUUUGCCCCUGCUUCAGCUGCACCCCAUCAGCAUUUUAGGAGUUAUCCCACACCAGCUGAGUAGCCAAAAUUUAUGUGAUUUUGGGUGGAUUUCUCUGCUUGUACCAUGUGGUGCAUUCUUCUGCCGUCACCCACCCUCUGCAUCCAUCCAUCCAUCCAUCCAUCCCCAAACUCUCACCAACCUGUGACAACCCCAAAUAGCAAAAGAAAAUGAAAUUGUAGCUGUUUUAUGCCUCCGCCUUGCUGCUUGUCUUUCUACCCCCUCUCUGCCUUGAUUGUUUGGCGAAUAGUUCGGGGACCCCAUCUGCUCAGCAUUCAAUCCUUGUCGUGGGCUGUCAGGCGUAGGAGAGUGUUUGGGGGACAAGUUAUAAAUUGAAUGCAUUUCAAUCUACAGGUGAGGGAAAGCAAUAGCUGAGGUCUCCAGCGAAUGGAGGAAUUAUGGCCAGUAAGCACAUAUUGCAAUAUACGGCCAAAAUAAUUUCUAGCUAACUUCUAGCUUUAAUAACUAGGUUAUUAAAGCUGCCUGUCCACAGAAAGAGGCACUGUCCUCUGCUCUUUGAUGAUUGUCCCUACAAUUGGUACAAAAGCCCCUAAGACUAGGCUGGGGGCCUCCAAGUCUAUUUUACCAAGCUUGAACCAGCACCUUGGUGGGAAGGCUCUAAGCACUAGGCCUCACUCUCCCACACACCUCUAUAUACAAUCUCUCUCCCAAUUGCAGCUGGCAUUGGCCAAGAAUCAUAAGCUGCAAUGGCCCAGUGGGAAGGGGGCUUCCCUCCAUUAAGCAGGGACGCAAGGCUGUAAUAUCUGUAGCACUUCAACUUAAUUGGGCUGAAAAUGAAGAAAAAAGAGCAAGCCCGAUGAAGCUGUCAAUCUCACUGAAUUAAGACACAGAACAGUCUUCCCCACUCCCCUUUCUUCCCCCUGCUGAACAGUCUGCAAUUUAAAAUGUAAGAGACAAGCAGUAUAAAAAAUUCCAAAAAAUCAAGGGCUCUGACAGGGGUUAUGCCUACCUGUCCUCCAGGUUCUGGUCCUCCUGUGUGUGUGUGUGCGCGCGCGCAUGUGCAUGCAUCCAUGUGCAUGCAUGUAUAGGCCAGAAGCUUCUUAUGAGAAGCUUCUUAUGAGCAAAGUUGAGAUUUUUGAAAUCCAAACCAGACAGUAGCAGCAUCUUUACUCUGUCUGCAUGUUCAAAGCAUGCUCAAUCCAAUGCAUAGACAUGAGCAUCAAGCCACGGACUGUGUCUGCUUAGGAACAAAAGAAGUUGAUUACACUAACUUUGACCCUUGGUCCAUCUUGCUCGGUAUUGUCCAUCUAUCCAUCCAUCCAUCCCCAAACCACCACCAACCUGUGACAACUGCGAAUAGCAAAAGAAAAUGAAAUUGUAGCUGCUUUAUCCCUCCGUCUUGUGGCUUGUGGACAACAAUUCUCAUCAUUGCCAACUGGGGCUGAUAGGAGUUGUAAGUCCAAAACAUCGGGAGGCUACCAAGUUGGCGAUGGCUGGUCUGCUCUUCUCACAGACUGGCCGUGGCUCUCCAGUACUCCAGACAGGAUGUGUGCCCAGUCCCACCUGUAGAGGCCAGGGAUUGCACCUGCACACAAAGCAUGUGCUCUGCCAUGGAACUAUGCCCCCUCUCCCACUGAAGGAAGCUUGGUUCCAGGGCCCCAAUUCAUAGUUGCAGAUUACACAUGAGUAGUUCCUCCAUAGCUGCCUUCUCUGUUGAGCCAAGGGCUUUGUGAUUAGAGCCACAUACCCACAAGGGGGCAGCUGCAGCUGCAGCAGAGAUGGCUCUCAUGCUGGCUUUCCUGUGCAACCCGGUUCUGUUUGGGGCUCCACCACUAGCCCAACCCCAUCCAGCUCCCAUAACUUUUGAAAUCAAAAGUUGACAGUCCUACACUCCUGCCAGUUGAAGCAGGACUUUCCAAUCUCCCCCCACCCAGCCCACCUCCCUUAUAGGGCCGAAAAGGGACUUUGAUAACCCUAACCUUAGCCUAUCCUGCUAGAGUCAGUGGGAAAGAAUUUCAGCCUUUCUCUUCUGUAGAAAACUAGCAAGUUUCUACCUGCCAUGCUUGUUUUCUACAUUCCGGUGCUUAUUUUACAAGGAAGCAGAAUUAAGAAAUUUGUACUCACUUGCUUGAAUUUGAUGUGGUCCAAUAAGAGCUGUCCCAUGUGAGCAGGAAGGAGGGGGAGAGAUGUCCCAAUGGGAGUUUUUUUCUAACCCUAAUUGCGGGGGGGGGGGAUUUUUGACAGGAGCAUGGUGGGAAAUCAGGGACGCUGUCCACUUUUGCCUGGGUAACAGAUCCCUUAAAAAUGUUCUGGGUUUUCCUGUAACCCACCAGAGCAAAUUUAGGAAGAGGGAGAGAGGGGAAGAGUCAUUGUUCAGUCCAAAGUGCUUCUGCUAGUGAAACUGCUUUGCUGGAUUUGUAAGGACAUGUUCAGCUUCACAUCCAGUUUGACCCUUAAAGUGCACAAAGGAAAGUUUGGGGGAGCCACACCCUUUUUGCAGAAAUCAUUUGCUUGAUGUUGUGUACCUAGCAGCUAGUGCCAUGCAGAUCUUUUGAAACUUUGAGUCCUUGGGAUUGGUGCUCUGCAGCAACUGCAGCUGAAUUAUUUUUCUUCUGCAUUAGGAUUCACAUCUGAUCAAAGCUAGCUUGAUGAGUAGCACUCAUUUCCACACAGAGAAAUGUUGCACAAGUACACAAAUGGUGUGCAUAGACUUGACAUUUGGGGCACAGAUAUGUGGAUGAUCAUUGUCAGGCUUGUUAAAACAUUGUGGGCUACUACCAUGAGACUAAGGACCAAUGCUAGUUUAGUACAGAACUAUGAAUGUUGGGUUGUCUUCUGUUUUUCAGGUGUCCAAAAAUAUUUUCAGGUCCCUGAGUUCUGGUGCUGAGGAUAUCACUGAACUAGAUAUGAGAUUAUCUAUAAGCUAGACCAAGUUCAAGUUCAUAAGCUUAUUGUUCUAGCCAAAGGCCAUGACAAAUUUGUGUUAGGCAAUAGUAUUAAUAAAAUAAUACAUAGCGUUCAUCCAUAAUAUAAAAAUCCUUAAUAUAAAAAUGACUUUGCCAAGUUCCUGAGCGUUAAAACACAGUUUCCCUUGUGCAUCUCUGACAGCUCCAAUCUUAAUGUUAGUUUACUUUUUAAAAAUCCAAUUUGAGAAGCUAGACCAAGAAAGAGGUGAUGACUGAGCAUGGAGCUGGGGGAAUGGCAAAGGUUAGGGGAUAUUGCAUUUGAUGUUUCUAAUCUGGGGGCUAUGUUUGUGAUCUGGAGGGCUGCCCAGCAGAUUAGCGCAUGCGGGCCUCUAUCGAUCCAUGUCAGACAGACACGCUGUUCUGGCAGCAGAUGAGCAGGGGACGAGGUGCUUUAUUUUUAUCAAUGCAAGAAGAGUGGCAUAAGCCAGCGACAGAUGAAAUGGGCUUUUCACACAUUUCUGACUAACCUUGGAACCCUUCACAAGGUUUCAGUGAUUGAGGAGGUCAGCACAACCUCAUAUUUUGCAGAUUGCACCCCGGGGCAAUGAUGUGCUUGGAAGAACGUGUGCCAUCCUUACCUUCCCCAGGAUUUGUCUCCAACCUGAAAGCUUUGUCUCCUCCUACAUGUGCCCCCAUAGCAAUGGCACCAACACAGCUUGGGGAGGGGGCUCAUCCACACUUCCCUUGGCCCCGUGAGUUGCAUGCCCAGGCACAGGAAGCACGCAGUGCAGUAUGAGGCUGACCGGGGUGAAAUGAGACACAGGAUACCAGGCCUGGGUUGAAAUAAGCACAGCUUUUAUUAAUUAGAGGUGUAAGUAGGUUUCGACUAAUGCAUUUGGGUAUGUAUCUGGGAUCAAGCAGCCUGCUUACUGGUUGAUCAAAGGGUGAUGGGUCAACCCUGGGUGGAGGGAUGCCCCCUGAUGUGUACCAAGUUGACAAUCCUGCCAAGGCCACCACUCAGAAGGGAUGCUAUGGCCCAUUGGGCCCCAUGUUUGCUCCUCGACAACAAUACUCCUUCCUGGACUCCUUUAAUGGGCUAUACUAACCCAACCCAAUGCUUUUUCCACCAGAGUUGUGACAUCUGUUAUGAGGCAGGCGAAAACCCACAGAGGGGGAAAUUUUUCUGUGGGGAGAAUUCCUCCCUGGUCCUCAGUACAGUGACCAAAUAUUCCAUAGCAAGGUCCACACACUGACCUUGGACAGGACCACAGGUCGGGAGGGUGAGGAAUCCUGGUGUGGCUUCACUUUAUAGGGACUAGGCAGACCCAGUUGACACACACCCAGCUGUCUUCUGGUUGGCCCAUUUAAAUGAGCCUUUCAUGCCAAUUCCAGAGGGAGAAGAUAGCUCCCACCCCAUGCCCAUGCCACGGCCUGCCAGGCAGCAAAUGGCCAUUUCACUGGAGCCCCAGGUCAACGGCCAUGCUUUCAUUUCCUAUCAUUUCUCUUGUGUCCUUCCACUUCCCCUGGGAAAACCUGCUGAUUACUGCUGAAUCAGAACACAGGUCACUCCAUAGAAAACCCAAUAGAUGUUUGUUCCAAUGCAGCAGUAAACAGAGUGUUUCCCUAGGGAAGGUGGCAGAGCAAAAGAAAACCUCCCAGACCUGUACCUGAAAAUCACAGGACAAACAGGCAGUUCUGUUUAGGGAAGUUUUUAAUGACUGAGGUUUUAAUGUAUUUUUAAUCUUUUGUUGGAAGCCGCCCGGAGUGGGGUAUAAAUAAAUUAUUAUUAUUAUUAUUAUUAUUAUUAUUAUUAUUAUUAUACUUGUCCUGGGUUAAAACUGUGCUUGUGGAAUUGGGAGAAGACCCAUCUACUGCCAAAAAGUUCACAUUUGGGUUUGAGGACCAAGCCUUUCUAACUGCCUAAAACUGAGACUCAUAUUUAGAUCUUAGCCCACACCAUCUGCCAUAACCACCACGUCUUUGCCAUCCUCUGAGGCCCUUCUUCAUGUGUCCCCUCCAUGACACGUCUGGAGGGUAGCAACAUAAGAACGAGCCUUUUCUGUGGUGACUCCCCAUUUGUGAAAUAAUCUCUCUAAGGAGGCUUGACUGGUGCCUUCGUUACAUCUCUGUAGGCGCCAGGCAAAAAGUUUCUCUAUAACCAGACCUUUGACUGAUCAAACAAUCUAUGGCCUUUAAAAUGUGUUUCUAGAAGGGGGAAGCGUAUUGGUUUGGUUGUUUUUGUUGUCAUUUGCUGUGUAUUUUGUGUUCUCACUUUGUAUUUUUAUGUCAUGGACCACCCUGUGAUCUUCAGAGGGAAGUAUAAAAAAAUAAUAAUAAUAUUUGGUUGGCAUCUGUCGGUCAUGGGAAACAAUGUAAGAGUAAAAAUAAAAAUAAUAGUUUCUCUGCCCACUCUUCCCUGGGACUAGGAAUGAGGAGCCUGUAGCCCUCCAGAUUGGUCUCGAAGAGAUCUGAGGAAGCUGUGGGAGCAGCGAGAGAGAAGAAGCAGAGAAAGCAGAUGCAGGAGCAAGGAGAAUGCCAACAUGGACUCUGAUCGAUGGAAAUACUGCCAUUUAGCCAGCAACAGUUAACUG
rnacentral:lncRNA from 1 species